ensembl:lncRNA
GGGUGUAGGUGAGGAUGUAGGUGAGGGUGUAGGUGAGGGUGUAGGUGAGGAUGUAGGUGAGGGUGUAGGUGAGGAUGUAGGAGAGGGUGUAGGAGAGGGUGUAGGUGAGGGUGUGGGAGAGGAUGUAGGAGAGGGUGUAGUGAGGGGUGUAGGAGAGGGUGUAGGUGAGGGUGUAGGAGAGGAUGUAGGAGAGGGUGUAGGAGAGGGUGUAGGUGAGGGUGUAGGAGAGGAUGUAGGUGAGGGUGUAGGAGAGGGUGUAGGAGAGGGUGUAGGAAAGGAUGUAGUAGAGGAUGUAGGUGAGGGUGUAGUAGAGGGUGUAGGUGAGGGUGUAGGAGAGGAUGUAGUAGAGGAUGUAGGCAAUACUGCUGCACGCAGGGUGAAUAAAUGAGCAGGCGUGUGACCGGGUGAAAUCACACACAGCUCUCUCCUACUCUGUUAUUAAUCUCUGCAUGUAUUCAUUUAUUAACACCAUCAUUUAUUAAUCUUCUCUCUCUCCUUCUCUAUUUCUGUUGUCAAAGUGAAUAGUAGAGAAGAAGAGUGUGCUGUAAUUCCCCCAUGCUAGUCCACUCUUUUGCGUUCUCCUGAUGCAAAUAAAACCUUCUUCCAUCUCUGUUCUCAGGUUUAAUCACAGCAGACGUCAGGUUCCUCAGCUCCUCAGCUUCACCCAUCUCAAACCAACCUGUCCAGGUUUGCUGCCCAUCAUUCACAGACAGAUGUGAAGUCUGAAAGACUGACAGCAUGAGCGAGUGAAUAAGAAAGAGAAUGAUGCUGUGAGAUGAGGAGGAAGAGGAAAGGCGUGUGUGGGUUUUUUAAGCAGUCUGACCAACGUGUCUUUUCCUCUACCUUGGCUCAUUGCUCCUCUCACUUCUGCGGCCUGUUGCCAUGGGAACGCAGCUGCAGCACCAGAGUCGUGAGUUGGAGAGUCUAGAGGUUUCUACUUAGUAAACACGCUCACAGGUCCUCAUCGGGCUGAGGAUCUAAUGUGACAGGCUACGACUCUCUUGCCUCUCGAUGGCAGAAGGAAAAUCACUCAAAACACUCAGAACUGGACAAUAUUCCUCAGCACAGCCGCCCGGAGCAUCGCCUGCCAGGGAUUUACUGCUCCUCAGCCUUCAUUCAGUGACAU